rnacentral:rRNA from 1 species
AUUGAACGCUUGCGGCAGGCCUAACACAUGCAAGUCGAACGAGUGGCGGACGGGUGAGUAAUGUCUGGGAAACUGCCUGAUGGAGGGGGAUAACUACUGGAAACGGUAGCUAAUACCGCAUACCAUCGGAUGUGCCCAGAUGGGAUUAGCUAGUGGGUGGGGUAAGGGCUCACCAAGGCGACGAUCCCUAGCUGGUCUGAGAGGAUGACCAGCCACAAUGGAUCUGAGACACGGUCCAGAUUCCGACGGGAGGCAGCAGUGGGGAAUAGUGCACAAUGGGCGCAAGCCUGAUGCAGCCAUGCCGCGUGUAUGAAGAAGGCCUUCGGGUUGUAAAGUACUUUCAGCGGGGAGGCGUUACCCGCAGAAGAAGAACCGGCUAACUCCGUGCCAGCAGCCGCGGUAAUAC